GAUUUCUGGCUUGAAACACUUGGCCGGCCACGGUUUCGUGUGUUAGUGCCUUGUGUUCUGGCCAUCCUUCCAAUCGCCAUUCACCUUUCUUCAUUGAUUGGUGAGUGGUAUUGGAUCUUUUACUUUGAAAAAAUUAGAGUGUUUCAAGCAGGCAUUAUUGCUAUGAAUACAUUAGCAUGGAAUAAUAAUUUAGGACUUCGGUUCUAUUUUGUUGGUGUUCUAGAACUGAAGUAAUGAUUGAUAGGGAUAGUUGGGGGUGCUAGUAUUCAAUGGCCAGAGGUGAAAUUCUCGGAUUCAUUGAAGACUAACUUAUGCGAAAGCAUU
rnacentral:rRNA from 1 species